GAUGAACGCUGGCGGCGUGCCUAAUACAUGCAAGUCGAGCGAACAGAUAAGGAGCUUGCUCCUUUGACGUUAGCGGCGGACGGGUGAGUAACACGUGGGUAACCUACCUAUAAGACUGGAAUAACUCCGGGAAACCGGGGCUAAUGCCGGAUAACAUUUAGAACCGCAUGGUUCUAAAGUGAAAGAUGGUUUUGCUAUCACUUAUAGGUGGACCCGCGCCGUAUUAGCUAGUUGGUAAGGUAACGGCUUACCAAGGCAACGAUACGUAGCCGACCUGAGAGGGUGAUCGGCCACACUGGAACUGAGACACGGUCCAGACUCCUACGGGAGGCAGCAGUAGGGAAUCUUCCGCAAUGGGCGAAAGCCUGACGGAGCAACGCCGCGUGAGUGAUGAAGGUCUUCGGAUCGUAAAACUCUGUUAUUAGGGAAGAACAAAUGUGUAAGUAACUGUGCACGUCUUGACGGUACCUAAUCAGAAAGCCACGGCUAACUACGU
rnacentral:rRNA from 1 species